rnacentral:tRNA from 1 species
GGAGAUGUAGCUUAAUUGGUAGAGUACUGGUCUAACAUCUAGAGGCCUAGAGUUCAAUCCCUAGCAUGUUCU